UACGAAGGGGGCGAGCGUUGUUCGGAUUUACUGGGCGUAAAGGGCGCGCAGGCGGUCUUGAAAGUCAGGCGUGAAAGCCCCGGGCUUAACCUGGGAAUGGCCUAUGUGACUGGCAGGCUAGGGGAUGGCAGAGGGAGGCGGAAUUCCACGUGUAGCAGUGAAAUGCGUAGAGAUGUGGAGGAACACCGAUGGCGUAGGCAGCCUCCUGGGCCAAUCCUGACGCUCAGGCACGAAAGCGUGGGGAUCAAACAGG
rnacentral:rRNA from 1 species